UUAUGCAUAGCGUAGUGGUUUGAGUGCUAGACUACAACUCUGGAGAUCAGGGUUCAGUUCCCAGCUUGGCCAAG